GCCUGGAUGGCUCAGUCGGUUAAGCGUCUGACUUCGACUCAGGUCAUGGUAUCACGGUCCGUGAGUUCGAGCCCCGCAUCGGGCU
rnacentral:tRNA from 1 species